rnacentral:tRNA from 1 species
GCUGGGGCUCAGUGGUAGAGAACCUGCCCAGCAUGUAUGAGGCCCUGGGUUCGAGUCUCAGCACUGCA